AUCUCAAAACACCUCGCUUUAAAAAUUAAGUAUGUAUCUUGUAAGCUACGCAGGGUCGAGCCUGGUUAGUACUUGGAUGGGAGACCACCUAGGAAAUCCAGGUGCUGUAGGUG
rnacentral:rRNA from 1 species